UACGUAGGGGCAAGCGUUGUCCGGAAUCAUUGGGCGUAAAGAGCGUGUAGGCGGCCCGAUAAGUCCGUCGUGAAAGUCCAGGGCUCAACCCUGGGAUGCCGGUGGAAACUGUCGGGCUAGAGUCCGGAAGAGGCGAGUGGAAUUCCUGGUGUAGCGGUGAAAUGCGCAGAUAUCAGGAGGAACACCGAUGGCGAAGGCAGCUCGCUGGGACGGUACUGACGCUGAGACGCGAAAGCGUGGGGAGCAAACAGG
rnacentral:rRNA from 1 species